rnacentral:pre_miRNA from 1 species
AAAGUACUCCCUCCGUCCCAAAAUUCUUGUAUUAGAUUUGUCUAGAUACGGAUGUAUCAAGUCACAUUUUAGUAUUAGAUACAUCCGUAUCUAGACAAAUCUAAGACAAGAAAUUUAGGACAGAGGGAGUAGUUG